ACCAAGUGAUCAGACUCCCCCAGGCUGGCAGGCAUCGGUGGCAGGAAAAUAAAUCAUUCUGAUGGCCAGGGAGAGAUUGUCGAGGGAGAAAAAUCUAUGUAGAAAACAAGGAAGGCCGACCAAGGCACAAGGAUAGGACUCCAUCUCUGAGGCUGGCAUCAAAGGGGGCUUGGGUUGGAAAUUAUAUAUAAAGUGGCCUCCGUCUUUGACUAGCCCAGAGCAUCGCCUUACAGAUAGAGAUGCUAUUUUGGAAAAAUGUGAGGUUUUUCAGUUUUCUUGCUUUUAUUCCAAACAAAGCUCUGAAGGAAGUCUGGGUGCGAUCAAUCUUGCUCACCAAAAGCCUUGACAGCUUCUGGCCCUUAAGAACACAUUUCAGCUUCAAGCUCUUUCCAAGAUCAAAUGUGGCCGAGCAGAGAGGAGAGGAGGAAACGCAAACGCAGGUGGUUCCUCACUUCCAGCUUUAAGGGGAGCAUGUUGAUAAGGAUGCAGUUCUGAGGUUUGCACUUUCUGAUUUUGGUUCCUUCUCUGAGCAAUUCUUUUAUUUGACAAUGAAACUAUUUCCCUUUCCUGUGACUGCCUUUGCCUCUGCCAGCCAGUCAGUACGCAGCCCUAUCUUAAAUUCAGGAGUAGAAAUGUAAUGCUUAGCUCCUGUAGCAUCAAAUCAAAGAAGUACUUGUAAAACUGCAUUUUUAUUAGAAAGAUACCAGUCUUCUUUCUCUCUCCCCCUCCCCCUGGGGCCAUAAAAGGAAAGCGAGGAGGGAAGGAGAGGAAAUAAAUCCAGAGAACGCCAAAUCCCAAAUUCCGGGAAGAAGCCGAUGCUGAACUCAAGUAGUCCAUGGAAGGGCUCAGGGAGGCUCCUCGGAGUUCAGCCUUCCUUUUGCUGUAGACCUGGAUCAGCCUCAGUCUUUUCCGAGCCUCUCUGCUCCCAGCGGCGAUUUUAGGAUUGAUUCUUUCCUCCUGGCGUUUGAGACAGCGAAACAUCUGCGAAGAAUCCGAUUGCUCCUAGAAAGUGCUCGGCAUCCUCCGCGCUGCGGGCAAGUCUCCGUGUUAAGGCGUUGGCUGCUCCGCUUUGACCAGAGGAAGACGGAGGAGAAGACAGCCCUACCUUAUUCGCCCGCGGGACUGCGGGGCACCUGUGCGCCUCGGCCCCGCUGCCUUUGUUUCUCCUGCACGCCGCACUCCUCAGCCCCUGCGCCCAUGGCCGGCCUCCGUGGCAGCUGGGCACCAGGCAGCCCAGCGGGCUGGCUGCUUGGCGUUUCCAGAGCUGCUGCCGCUAGAAGCUCCAGCUGCCUUCCCGAGAAUUCGUCUCGCUCCCAGGCGAGCCGCCGGGCCAGGCCUCACGCUGGAGCUGGAGGGCCCUGGUGGCCUGCUCCGCCAGUUCGCCUCUGCCUGGACUCCACGCAGACCCUUAUCUUCGGCCAAAGAACCCCUUCUGAACACGGAUAUUAUUCAGAAUAAAAACUUUAUUUUUUGU